rnacentral:lncRNA from 1 species
CUGAGAGGAGGCUUCUCCAACACAAAAGGAGGAAUUAGGGGCACAAAGCAAUAAUAUAUAGGGCUAGAAUUAGAAACCAAUAAAGACUUGAACAAUUCUGAUGUCUACAGUUUGCCUGGUGCAGUACAUUCUAGAUCUCAUUUAUCUAAUCAGGAUUUCUCAGCCUCAGUACUAUUGACAUUUUGGGCCAGAUCUUUGUUAUACGGGGAUGCCUACAUUAUAAGAUGGUUAACAGCAUCCCUGCCCCCUACCCAGUGAAUACCAGGAGCCUCCUCCUGUUGUGACAAGUAUUUAUGUCUCUGGGUGUGGGCGAAUGUCCCCUAUAUAGGGUAGAAUUAGAAAUCAAUAAAGACCUUGGUCUUUAUUGUGAACUAUUAAUCUAAAUGGAUUCAAAUCUACUAGGCAUCCUGAUGAAGUGGAGAGAUAAAUGUUCUUCCUUCAGGGAGCUUGAAAUCUUUAUUGGUAAGAUUAAGUGUAUGACUUGAUGGGAUGAGCACUGGGUAUUAUUAUGCUAUAUGUUGGCAAAUUGAACUCCAAUAAAAAAAGUUUUUUAAAAAUUAAGUGCAUGAAUCUCAACAUUAAAUGAAUGAAAGAAAGAAAGAAGAGCAAGAAAGAAAGAGUUGCACUUUCCAGUCAUCUGGCUCCUUGGAGUGGCAUGCCAUCUCCUGCUCCCUUCUGUUACUUUUAUUAACUAAAGAAAAAAAAAAAGAAAAGAAAAGAAAAGAAAGAAACAGAAACAAAAUUCCAUAAUCAAGGAAAGGUGAGUAAAAAAAGAUAAAUAAAUAAUAAGUGAUAAGUGCUAACUGGAAGAGUUUCUUUUUUUUUCUUUUUCUUCUUUUUUUUUUUUUUUAAACUUACUCGGAAGAAUGCAUUAUCUGUUAGUAAGUAGUGUAAGCAAUUAUCUUUAGCGUGGAACUGGUAUAUUUUAGGCAAUCCUACUGAAAUGGUGUAAACAACAUUUCCUGUGUCAAAAGCAGAGAUCCAAGUCUGUUUUAGAAUGGUCCUAAUCUCCAUCUAUUAUAAUUUCCACCAAUAACUUGUCUUUUUAUAUAUGCUGGCAUCUGUGUGAAAGACAGCAUCCCACAUUGACCAAGUCUCCAUCUGGUGAGAGGCGGGAGAACAGGAACAUAGGCUGUCACUUUAUGCAGAUGGAUUUCUAUUAAUACAAACAAGUGACCCUAAAAGAGAAAUUGGCUAGCUCCAGCAUAACUUUAAGAAGAUUGUUCUGAAUUUCCUGAAAGCAGGUUAUUUCUAAAUACAUGGUGUUGCCUUUUAAACACAGAUCAGGCAUUUUGUCCUUCUAAGAGCUGGUUUUACAAAGUGGGCUUGCCAUUCUGAGCCCAUUUGCUCGGGGAGGGAGAGGCAGGAAAAGAUUGCAGUGAGACAGACAGACAGGGUCUCUUGUGGGAACAGCCCCAGGUUUUCCUGAUGAGUGUUCGAGACCCAUCAGGCUAUGAAUCCUGGAGAGAGGGCAGGGGAAGGGAGUAGUUUAACCCAUCAUGGCUCUCUGCCACCUGUCUUUUCUCCUUCCUUACCAUGAGAAUACGUGGCUUGCAAAUAUCCUCAGUGCAUCCAUUGGGUAAAUUUAUAUUCUGAAUCUACACAUACAAACCUUUACCAAGGGAGUCUGCUUUUAGGGUCACUAGGAAGGCUUUCACUGACUUCUUCUUCUUCAUUGACCCACCCCUGGCCAGCUGUGACAAACAGCAUAGCAACUGGGCCAUGGAGAGACUCUCGAGAGUAAUAACUCCUAGUUGUAAACAACCCAGUGGCCUAUCAAUAGAGAUGAGUGAUGUUAUAUCCAUGUGGCACAAUACUAUGAUAUAGUUAAAAAUCAUAUUUUGGAAUAGUUUUUUUUUCAAACUGGUUAUUUCAGUACUCCUUCAGGGCUUCUGCCCUAUGUUUGGCUCUCCUAUUUUAUACUUAAUACAUUUCUUUAAAUGGACUUAGUUUUUAAAACAUAUGUAUUCCCACCCAUCCUCAUCCUGAGUGAUGAUAUCUACGACAUGAGUUUGAGGUGCUAGUUGUAUUUUUCAGUACACACUAACCUAAACAGGUAAGUUUAAAUACUUACCUGUUCAUACUUAACAGGUAAGUAUUAAAAUUUAAAAUGUUCAAUUAAGUUUGGCUAAAAUCAGCUUAAAAUCAGUAUCCCCAGUGGUACUCUUCCCACUGUUAGGAGAAACCUUGCUUUAGAAGACUACCUGGUGUCCCUGGAGCAAAGACUACGCUAUUACUUGAAAACAAGCAAACUGAUCAAAAUUUUGUGGAAAUAAUGUCUGUUCAUGUGUGUGUGCAUAUGUGUAUGAAAAAGAUGCAUAUGAACCCCAUAUGUUAAUAGUGGUUAGCUCUAUUAGUAUGUAAUCUGGUCUCAGAUUGACUUAUGGGAUUUUUUUCCACAGGUGUCUCCUUUAUUUAAAAGUGAUGAUUAACUCAUUUUUUAAAAAUAGUUUUAUUGAGAUAUAAUUUGAAUACUAGAAAAUUCAUCCUUUUGAGGUAUAAAAUUUGGCGUUUUUCAGUAUAUUCACAAAGAUGUAUACCAUAGACUAUACCUAAAUCUAGGACAUUUCAUCACCCCCAAAAGAAACUCUGUACACAUUACUGUCACUCUCCCAUUGUCCCCUGAAUCUAGUCCCUGGCAAUCACUAAUCUACUUUCCAUCUCUACGGACUUGCCUUUUCUGGAAAUGGCAUAGAAAUAGAAUCACACAAUAAUAUGGAUUUUUGUGACUAGCUUCUUUCAUUUCAAGUUUCCUCCAUGUUGUAGCAUUAGUAGUACUUCUAUUCUUCUUAUUAUAGAAGUGGCUUUCUGCCACUUGAAUAUACCACAUUGUUAUUUAUCCAUUCAUUAGUUGAUAGACAUUUUUUGCUACUUCUACUUUUUGGCUAUUAUAAAUAAUUCUUCUGUGAACAUUUGUGUACAAGUUACACAGGGACAUAUAUUUUCAAUUUUCUUGAGUCUAUACCCAGGAGUAGAAUUGCUGAAUUACAUAAUAACUCUAGGUUUAACAGUUUAAAGAACUACCAAACAGUUUUCCAAAAUGGCUACACCAUAUAAAAAUCCCACCAGCAGUGUACGAGGGUUCCAAUAUCUCCACAACCUCACCAACAUCUGUACUUGUCUGUCAUUUUUAUAUCCGCCAUCCUAGGAGAUGUGAAAUGGUACCUCAUUGUGGUUUUGAUUUACAUUUCCCAGAUGACUAAGGAUGUUGAGUAUCCUUUCAUGUGUUUAUUAGCCAUUUGUACAGGCUUUGCUUUAUUGCACUUCACAGAGACUGUAUUUUUUAUAAGUUGAAGAUUUGUGGAAACCCUGCAGCAAGCAAAUCUAUCAGUGCCUUUUUUUCCUAUAGCAUUGGCUUGCUUCAUGUCUUUGUGUCACAUUUUGGUAAUUGUUGCUUUAUUGAAGUGGUCUGGAACUGAACCCGCCAUGUAUCCUAUGUAUGCCUAAAUAUCUAUUCAGAUCUUUUGCCUAUUUUUCAGUUAGGUUGUCUUUUUAUUAUUGAGUUAUAGGUGUUCUUUAUAUAUUCUAUAUACAAGUUCCUUAUCAUAUAUAUGAUUUCAAAUAUUUCCCCCAUUUCAUUCUCUUGAUAGUGUCCUUUGAAGCACAAAAGUUUUAGAUUUUGAUUAAGUUCCAUUAUGUUUUAUUUUGUUGCCUGUGGUUUAGGUGUGAUAUCUAGAGUUCAUUCCCUAAUCUAAGGUCACAAAAUUUAUGCCCAUGUUUUCUUCAAGGAGUUUUACCAUUUAGCUCCUAUAUAUGGUCUAUAAUCCAUUUUGAGUUGAGAUUUGUAUUUUGUUUGGGGAAGGAGUCACAUUUCAUCCUUUUUCAUGGGUAUCCAGUUGUCCAGGCAUCAUUUGUUGAAAAGAAUGCUUUUCCCCCAUUGAAAGGUCCUUGGCACCCUUGUCAAAAAUCAGUUGAUCACUAAUUCAUGAAUGUAAGGGUUUAAUUCUGAACUCUCAAUGCUAUUCCAUUGAUCUGUAUGUCUAGACUUACACCAGUACCUCACCAUCUGGGUUACUAUAGCUUUGUACUAAAUUUUGAAAUUGGGAAGUAUGAGUCCUUUAACCUUGUUUUUCUUUCUCAAGGCUGUUUUGGCUAUUUUGGGUUUCUUAAAUUUCUAUCUGAAUUCUAGAUUCAGUUUAUCUCUUUCUACCCAGCAAAAGGCAGCUGGGAUUCUGAUACAGAUUACAUUGAAUCUGUGGUUAAUACUUAAUACAUAAUAAUACUAAGGUCUGAUCCAUGACCAGAGGAUGUUUUUUCAUUAAGUUAGAUUUCCUUUAAUUUCUUUUAACAAUACUUUUUAGUCUUCAGUACAUAAGUCUCACACUUAUUUUAUUGAAUUUACUCCUAGGUAUUUAUUCUUUUUGAUGCUAUUAUUGUAAAUGGAUUCAAAUUGUGUUUAAAACCUCCUUCUUUAUAGUUCCCUAAAUUUUAAAAUUACUUAUAAUGAUGACCUAAUACUCUUAUAAUGAGAAAGAAUAUGAAAAAAGUUUCAGCCUCAUGAAGAUUUGAGAAUCCUAGAUAUGGAUUCUUCUGUGGAUUUUUUUUUUUGAUGUCUGAAUUU